UACGUAGGGUGCGAGCGUUGUCCGGAAUUAUUGGGCGUAAAUGGCUCGUAGGCGGUUUGUCGCGUCGGGAGUGAAAACUCAGGGCUUAACCCUGAGCCUGCUUCCGAUACGGGCAGACUAGAGGUAUGCAGGGGAGAACGGAAUUCCUGGUGUAGCGGUGAAAUGCGCAGAUAUCAGGAGGAACACCGGUGGCGAAGGCGGUUCUCUGGGCAGUACCUGACGCUGAGGAGCGAAAGUGUGGGGAGCGAACAGG
rnacentral:rRNA from 1 species